AUGACCAUUCUGCCAAGAUACCGGUCGACAUUUGGGAGGCCACAUGUCGACUGGUUCUGAGAAAAUUUGUAAUGUUUGUGCCUUUAUAUAUAUAUGCCUGUGUGUGCGGUGUGUAUUAAAAGAAAAAAAAAAAAAAAAAAAAAAGAAAAAAAAAAAGAAAAAGAAAUUAGAAAAAGAGAGGUGGGACCCACGUCCCUUUUAAAUGAAUUAAGAGACCAAGUUAAUCUCUGUUCUUUUUCUCUCUCUUUCUCCUGAUUGCUGCUCUCGGCUCCUUCUCUUUUCCUUUUUUUCUUUUUUUUCACUUCAAGCUUUAACCCUUAAUUACUCUCUCAAUCCUUGCCGGAUUUAGGUGCCGUUUGAGGCAAAACGACGAGUGUGACGAGCUCUACGUUCUAGUACCAGCAAUUCCAGUUUUGCUACCUUCCUUGGAGCUCGAAUUUGAGGACCCAUUUUCUAGGGUUUUGGUGCAAUCUUGAUGUAAGGGCAUCUUAAUCCACUCUCUUCUUGUUCCAUUGUCUUGGAAAAGAACCGGUGGACGACAACCCACCUCAAGCUUGAGCGAUACUAGAAGCUCACUUUUGUGUCUUUUGUAUAUCUCCCAUUAUUUUUGCAAAGCACUAAAAGUGUGAAGGUGUAUAUGUAUAUUUUGCAAAAACUUUGUCAUGUAAUGUAGUUAAGGUAUUUGAUGAUAUUUUGGAUGUGAAUUUGAUAACAUGUAAACCUUAUUGAUGAAUGGGGAGAGUAAUACUAGUUUGAAGUA